rnacentral:rRNA from 1 species
AGGACGAACGCUGGCGGCGUGCCUAACACAUGCAAGUCGAGCGGAAAGGCCUCCUUCGGGAGGUACUCGAGCGGCGAACGGGUGAGUAACACGUGGGCAACCAACCCCUCACAUCGGGAUACCCCGGGGAAACUCGGAUCAAUACCGGAUAAUGCGCGACGCUGUUGGGCGUCGCACCAAAGGUAGCUUCGGCCUCUGGUGAGGGACGGGCCCGCGGCCCAUUAGCUUGUUGGUGGGGUAAUGGCCUACCAAGGCAACGAUGGGUAGCUGGUCUGAGAGGAUGAUCAGCCACACUGGGACUGAGAUACGGCCCAGACUCCUACGGGAGGCAGCAGUGGGGAAUAUUGCGCAAUGGGCGGAAGCCUGACGCAGCAACGCCGCGUGCGGGAGGAAGGCCUUCGGGUCGUAAACCGCUUUCAGGGGGGACGAAGCCACCAGGGUUAAUAGCCCAUGGGGUGACGGUACUCCCAGAAGAAGCCCCGGCUAACUACGUGCCAGCGGCCGCGGU